GACAUAAUUUAAAUCUAAAGCAAUCCUCCACAGUUUACAGUGUCUUGCUGUGCACCCAAUUAAUGCAUUUCGUUUGCAAUUCAUAUGACUGUGCGGGUGGGGAGCAUUACAGUAGCAAGAUGGAGAACCAAAUGCAAGGUCUUCUUUAAAGAAGCAACCUUUGUCUUCGUUCUGAAGGACAAGAAAGUUAGUAAGUACUUUUAUUGCUGUGGGAACCUCCACCGCUGGAUGAUGUUAGAAAAGUACUUUCUAGGCAUCUUCCUGAUCAGCAAAAUAAAUGGAGUUCUGAAAACAGGGCUGGGCUGGCUGUAAUUUGAGCUCUUAUCCACCUCUUUCAAAGGAACAAGGAGCUAUGGAAAAAAUAUAAGAUGUGACACAGAACUGUCAAACAUCAUGGGAAUGAAACUUCCAGAGGUUGUGGAUACCCCACUCCUGGAACUGUUCAAGGCAAAGCUGGAUGGUGCCCUGAGCAACCUGAUCUAAUAGUUACGAGUGGGUGGAAGCCCUACUCAUGGAGCGGGGCUGGAACUAGAUGAUCUUCAGGGUUCCUUCCAAGCAAAACUUUCUAUGAUUCUAUAAUUCCAUAAUGAGGGCUAUGGGAAGUUCACAUGGAGAGGUUGGGCAUGAAGCCAGAUGUCCUGGAGAUAAUUCCUAGAGCUUCAGCAAACUAUGCACUUACUAUCAACUGCUUUGAACAAAUACUUCCCAACGGCAAGCUCACUGAUGCUUGUCUGUUGACCUGAGUUCAAGAGGGAGAAGACUCAUGAUCUGUUGUUGCCUUAGAACACUGAUCCAUGCGCUGAUUGGACAAUGGAAGAAAUUUUGAGGAAGGUGAGAGUGGGGAAAGAUCCUGCUAUUUUGAAAGUCUGAGUGUAGAUUAUAUUUAUCAGGGAUGAGCAAUUUGAGUGAUAAAGUGAUAUGCUGUAAUGAAAAUUUUUAAAAGUCAAUAGUGGUAAUUUUAAAUAUUGAAAUAAUUUAGAUUCCUAUUUAAAAAAUUUCUGUAUCAGUAUGAGUCACCUUAGAAUCCCACUGCACUGAUGAGGUGAACAAAAACCUUACUCUGAAAAUACUUCUGCCUAAAUCUCUGCUGCCAUAUUAUGGAUCGAGCCAGAGAUUUCAGCCAGCAGGGGGAACUGCAGAAACAGCCAAAGCAAGAAUUGUGCUGAAAGGACUAGGAAUCAAAUUGCCCCUGUAUGUCUCUUUGGAGCCAUUUUGAUCCAGAUCUCUGCACAAAAUCACCUUCAUGAGGGUUCUCAUAAGAUGUUUCCUUCUAUCAACAUCACCUGACAGAAAAAGGACAUUGGGAACAUAUCGGAAGCAGCUACAUAUCAAACUGUGAGCUGUUGCAAGAAAGUUCUCGUUUUCAUGCUUUCAUGGAUGAUUAAAGCUAGAUCUUACCUCUUUAGCUCACUUGUGAUAAUGUCAUAAGAUGGGGUGUCAUAAACUCUUCAAGAGUUAAGAUAUACCACAACCACUCAUUUCCUGUCAUUCACCAGCUAAG